rnacentral:lncRNA from 1 species
AUGAACAAGUCAAGCCAGCAGAAAGCAGAGCAUAGACUUAAUUCAUCAAUAAAACAAGAUUGCCUAUGCAAUUCUAGAGUUUCACAGCUACAUAUUCAUGGAAACAUCCAUUGCCCUUUGAAUUAUAAUGGAUGGAGGAGAAAGGACACAGGCCUGCACUUACCGAGCAGAGAAGCAGAACCAAAAUAACUUCGGCUAUUGUGUUCUUUGUAGUCAAAGCCCUUCCCACCUCCACCAAAGGCAGAACCAAUCUCUGAAGCAAUCUCUGUGUGGAGAAGAAUUCAAAUUUCCCUGAUGGGCUACGACAAAGCUGGAGGAUACAGAAAUAUGACCACCCAAUCGCCCUGCCCCAGGCCCCCUGGCUGGUACACAGCUCCCUGGGAAAUGGGCUGAGAAAGCAAACGUCGUAUGUAAUAGAUGUUCAAUAAAUACAUGGAUAAUCCCA